rnacentral:rRNA from 1 species
AACGAACGCUGGCGGCAUGCCUAACACAUGCAAGUCGAACGAUUGCCUUCGGGUGAUAGUGGCGCACGGGUGCGUAACGCGUGGGAAUCUGCCCUUAGGUUCGGAAUAACAGCUGGAAACGGCUGCUAAUACCGGAUGAUAUCGCGAGAUCAAAGAUUUAUCGCCUGAGGAUGAGCCCGCGUUGGAUUAGGUAGUUGGUGGGGUAAAGGCCUACCAAGCCGACGAUCCAUAGCUGGUCUGAGAGGAUGAUCAGCCACACUGGGACUGGGACACGGCCCAGACUCCUACGGGAAGCAGCAGUGGGGAAUAUUGGACAAUGGGCGCAAGCCUGAUCCAGCAAUGCCGCGUGAGUGAUGAAGGCCGUAGGGUUGUAAAGCUCUUUUACCCGGGAAGAUAAUGACGGUACCGGGAGAAUAAGCCCCGGCUAACUCCGUG